GACGAACGCUGGCGGCGUGCUUAACACAUGCAAGUCGAACGGAAAGGCCCUGCUUUUGUGGGGUGCUCGAGUGGCGAACGGGUGAGUAACACGUGAGUAACCUGCCCUUGACUUUGGGAUAACUUCAGGAAACUGGGGCUAAUACCGGAUAGGAGCUCCUGCUGCAUGGUGGGGGUUGGAAAGUUUCGGCGGUUGGGGAUGGACUCGCAGCUUAUCAGCUUGUUGGUGGGGUAGUGGCUUACCAAGGCUUUGACGGGUAGCCGGCCUGAGAGGGUGACCGGCCACAUUGGGACUGGGAUACGGCCCAGACUCCUACGGGAGGCAGCAGUGGGGAAUAUUGCACAAUGGGCGGAAGCCUGAUGCAGCAACGCCGCGUGCGGGAUGACGGCCUUCGGGUUGUAAACCGCUUUCGCCUGUGACGAAGCGUGAGUGACGGUAAUGGGUAAAGAAGCACCGGCUAACUACGUG
rnacentral:rRNA from 1 species